UGGUAUCUUCGUCGUGGAGUCAUUUUUACUAAAGAUAACCUUAUCAAGAGGAAUUGGCAUGAAAUUCCGCAAUGUGUUUUUUGUCAUCAUGAUGAGACAAUAAAACAUUUAUUCUUCCAAUGCAAAUUGCCUCGGUCUAUAUGGUCAGUCAUCCAGAUAGCUUCUAGCUUGUAUCUUCCUUCUAGUGUUGCUAAUAUAUUUGGCAACUGGUUACAUGGGAUUGAUCACAGGUUUAGAACUCUAAGGGUGGGAGUGCUUGUCAUUAUUUGGUCGCUUUGGUUGUGUAGAAAUGAUAAGGUUUUUAACGAUAAAAGUACUUCUCUAAUGCAGGUUAUCUACACAUGUACUGGGACUCUUCAUUUAUGGUCCUCUCUACAACACGUGGAGAAUUGA
rnacentral:rRNA from 1 species